GGUUAAGCGACUAAGCGUACACGGUGGAUGCCCUGGCAGUCAGAGGCGAUGAAGGACGUGCUAAUCUGCGAUAAGCGUCGGUAAGGUGAUAUGAACCGUUAUAACCGGCGAUUUCCGAAUGGGGAAACCCAGUGUGUUUCGACACACUAUCAUUAACUGAAUCCAUAGGUUAAUGAGGCGAACCGGGGGAACUGAAACAUCUAAGUACCCCGAGGAAAAGAAAUCAACCGAGAUUCCCCCAGUAGCGGCGAGCGAACGGGGAGGAGCCCAGAGCCUGAAUCAGUGUGUGUGUUAGUGGAAGCGUCUGGAAAGGCGCGCGAUACAGGGUGACAGCCCCGUACACAAAAAUGCACAUGCUGUGAGCUCGAUGAGUAGGGCGGGACACGUGGUAUCCUGUCUGAAUAUGGGGGGACCAUCCUCCAAGGCUAAAUACUCCUGACUGACCGAUAGUGAACCAGUACCGUGAGGGAAAGGCGAAAAGAACCCCGGCGAGGGGAGUGAAAAAGAACCUGAAACCGUGUACGUACAAGCAGUGGGAGCCUCUUAAUGGGGUGACUGCGUACCUUUUGUAUAAUGGGUCAGCGACUUAUAUUCUGUAGCAAGGUUAACCGAAUAGGGGAGCCGAAGGGAAACCGAGUCUUAACUGGGCGUUAAGUUGCAGGGUAUAGACCCGAAACCCGGUGAUCUAGCCAUGGGCAGGUUGAAGGUUGGGUAACACUAACUGGAGGACCGAACCGACUAAUGUUGAAAAAUUAGCGGAUGACUUGUGGCUGGGGGUGAAAGGCCAAUCAAACCGGGAGAUAGCUGGUUCUCCCCGAAAGCUAUUUAGGUAGCGCCUCGUGAAUUCAUCUCCGGGGGUAGAGCACUGUUUCGGCAAGGGGGUCAUCCCGACUUACCAACCCGAUGCAAACUGCGAAUACCGGAGAAUGUUAUCACGGGAGACACACGGCGGGUGCUAACGUCCGUCGUGAAGAGGGAAACAACCCAGACCGCCAGCUAAGGUCCCAAAGUCAUGGUUAAGUGGGAAACGAUGUGGGAAGGCCCAGACAGCCAGGAUGUUGGCUUAGAAGCAGCCAUCAUUUAAAGAAAGCGUAAUAGCUCACUGGUCGAGUCGGCCUGCGCGGAAGAUGUAACGGGGCUAAACCAUGCACCGAAGCUGCGGCAGCGACACUAUGUGUUGUUGGGUAGGGGAGCGUUCUGUAAGCCUGUGAAGGUGUACUGUGAGGUAUGCUGGAGGUAUCAGAAGUGCGAAUGCUGACAUAAGUAACGAUAAAGCGGGUGAAAAGCCCGCUCGCCGGAAGACCAAGGGUUCCUGUCCAACGUUAAUCGGGGCAGGGUGAGUCGACCCCUAAGGCGAGGCCGAAAGGCGUAGUCGAUGGGAAACAGGUUAAUAUUCCUGUACUUGGUGUUACUGCGAAGGGGGGACGGAGAAGGCUAUGUUGGCCGGGCGACGGUUGUCCCGGUUUAAGCGUGUAGGCUGGUUUUCCAGGCAAAUCCGGAAAAUCAAGGCUGAGGCGUGAUGACGAGGCACUACGGUGCUGAAGCAACAAAUGCCCUGCUUCCAGGAAAAGCCUCUAAGCAUCAGGUAACAUCAAAUCGUACCCCAAACCGACACAGGUGGUCAGGUAGAGAAUACCAAGGCGCUUGAGAGAACUCGGGUGAAGGAACUAGGCAAAAUGGUGCCGUAACUUCGGGAGAAGGCACGCUGAUAUGUAGGUGAAGCGACUUGCUCGUGGAGCUGAAAUCAGUCGAAGAUACCAGCUGGCUGCAACUGUUUAUUAAAAACACAGCACUGUGCAAACACGAAAGUGGACGUAUACGGUGUGACGCCUGCCCGGUGCCGGAAGGUUAAUUGAUGGGGUUAGCGGUAACGCGAAGCUCUUGAUCGAAGCCCCGGUAAACGGCGGCCGUAACUAUAACGGUCCUAAGGUAGCGAAAUUCCUUGUCGGGUAAGUUCCGACCUGCACGAAUGGCGUAAUGAUGGCCAGGCUGUCUCCACCCGAGACUCAGUGAAAUUGAACUCGCUGUGAAGAUGCAGUGUACCCGCGGCAAGACGGAAAGACCCCGUGAACCUUUACUAUAGCUUGACACUGAACAUUGAGCCUUGAUGUGUAGGAUAGGUGGGAGGCUUUGAAGUGUGGACGCCAGUCUGCAUGGAGCCGGCCUUGAAAUACCACCCUUUAAUGUUUGAUGUUCUAACGUUGGCCCCUGAUCGGGGUUGCGGACAGUGUCUGGUGGGUAGUUUGACUGGGGCGGUCUCCUCCUAAAGAGUAACGGAGGAGCACGAAGGUUGGCUAAUCCUGGUCGGACAUCAGGAGGUUAGUGCAAUGGCAUAAGCCAGCUUGACUGCGAGCGUGACGGCGCGAGCAGGUGCGAAAGCAGGUCAUAGUGAUCCGGUGGUUCUGAAUGGAAGGGCCAUCGCUCAACGGAUAAAAGGUACUCCGGGGAUAACAGGCUGAUACCGCCCAAGAGUUCAUAUCGACGGCGGUGUUUGGCACCUCGAUGUCGGCUCAUCACAUCCUGGGGCUGAAGUAGGUCCCAAGGGUAUGGCUGUUCGCCAUUUAAAGUGGUACGCGAGCUGGGUUUAGAACGUCGUGAGACAGUUCGGUCCCUAUCUGCCGUGGGCGCUGGAGAACUGAGGGGGGCUGCUCCUAGUACGAGAGGACCGGAGUGGACGCAUCACUGGUGUUCGGGUUGUCAUGCCAAUGGCACUGCCCGGUAGCUAAAUGCGGAAGAGAUAAGUGCUGAAAGCAUCUAAGCACGAAACUUGCCCCGAGAUGAGUUCUCCCUGACUCCUUGAGAGUCCUGAAGGAACGUUGAAGACGACGACGUUGAUAGGCCGGGUGUGUAAGCGCAGCGAUGCGUUGAGCUAACCGGUACUAAUGAACCGUGAGGCUUAACCUU
rnacentral:rRNA from 1 species